rnacentral:rRNA from 1 species
CCUACGGGAGGCAGCAGUGAGGAAUAUUGGUCAAUGGGCGCAAGCCUGAACCAGCCAAGUCGCGUGAGGGAUGAAGUAUUUCGGUAUGUAAAGCUCUAUCAGCAGGGAAGAAAAUGACGGUACCUGACUAAGAAGCCCCGGCUAACUACGUGCCAGCAGCCGCGGUAAUACGUAGGGGGCAAGCGUUAUCCGGAUUUACUGGGUGUAAAGGGAGCGCAGACGGCUGUGCAAGUCUGGAGUGAAAGGCGGGGGCCCAACCCCCGGACUGCUCUGGAAACUGUAAAGCUGGAGUGCAGGAGAGGUAAGCGGAAUGCCUAGUGUAGCGGUGAAAUGCGUAGAUAUUAGGAGGAACACCAGUGGCGAAGGCGGCUUACUGGACUGCAACUGACGUUGAGGCUCGAAAGCGUGGGGAGCAAACAGGAUUAGAUACCCUAGUAGUC